rnacentral:rRNA from 1 species
GACGAACGCUGGCGGCGUGCUUAACACAUGCAAGUCGAGCGGUAAGGCCCUCGGGUACGACGAGCGGCGAACGGGUGAGUAACACGUGGGUGGACCUGCCUUUAGCUCUGGGAGUAAGCCUGGGAAACGUGGGUCGUAAUACCGGAUAUGACCUCAUGACGCAUGUUGUGGGGUGGAAAGCCUUGUGCGGCUAGAGAUGGGCCC